rnacentral:misc_RNA from 1 species
GAAAUGCGAUAAGUAAUGUGAAUUGCAGAAUUCAGUGAAUCAUCGAAUCUUUGAACGCACAUUGCGCCCGCCAGUAUUCUGGCGGGCAUGCCUGUUCGAGCGUCAUUACAACCCUCAGGCCCCCGGGCCUGGCGUUGGGGAUCGGCGGAAGCCCCCUGCGGGCACAACGCCGUCCCCCAAAUACAGUGGCGGUCCCGCCGCAGCUUCCAUUGCGUAGUAGCUAACACCUCGCAACUGGAGAGCGGCGCGGCCACGCCGUAAAACACCCAACUUCUGAAUGUUGACCUCGCAUCAGGUAGGAAUACCCGCUGAAGAUAAGC